rnacentral:lncRNA from 1 species
AAGGAUUCUUACCGAAAUUGUAGACAGACUCAAAUACAGAUCUGGAUCACAACCUACGAGCUGGGGUGCUGAGUCCCCUGAUCAAAACCUCCUGGCACCGCUGACUCUUCCCCUACAACAUCAAUUAUAAAUCACAAACUAAAUUAUUUAAUAUUUAAAUAUUCUAAACCAUAAUUCACAUCUACUAUGGGGUCCAUCACCAGAUCCCCAAACAUCUCAAUCCCUCCAGAUCUAGGGUAGUCGGGGUGGCCCGACUCCCACCUUGCACCAUCGGCCUAUGUCGUCGCCAGCCGUGGCCGCAGCCAUGCCGGCGACGAUGGCCGGUCCCGAUGAAGAGACCAACAUAAAGGGAUGAUUCCUCUCUCUUCAUGGUUGGGAAUACAUCUCCCUCCCUCAAAUCCUUUUUGAUCCAAGGGCAACAACCAUGGUGGUUGUG